GGGCCCGUGGUCUAGCCCGGUCUAGGAUACCCGCCUGACACGCGGGGGGUCCCCGGUUCAAAUCCGGGCGGGCCCA
rnacentral:tRNA from 1 species